AUAUAUAUAUAUAUAUAUAUAUAUGUAUAUUUGAAGUUGUAAAGAAUGCUUUUUUUUGUCACAAAAGUUGUAAAGAAUGCUAACUUCAGUAUAGUAAUCUAUACCUUUAGAAAAAAAAUAGUAAUUUAUAUAAUACAAAAUAUUCUCUCUGUUUCUUAAAAAUAGAUAUUAUGGUGUUUCGAAUAUAUUAAGAAAAUACAUUAAUCAUGCAUAUUUUUUAAAAAAAUAUCAAAUUCUAAUGUUUUUUAACCAAUAGUUUUUCAAUAUAUUCAAUUAAUUUUAUUGAAAUUUGUAAUUUUGUAUAGAAAACAUAAAAAAAAAACUAUUUUUGUGAAACAGUUUUUUUUUAAACUUCUAUUUUAAUGAAACGGAUGAAGUAUAUAGGAGUAAGUUUUACUUUUCCAAUGGCACAUAAUAUGCAGAUUUAAAUUUAAAUGGUAAUACAAGAAAGUAACAAGAAUACCAGCACAAGAUAAUGGUAAUACAAAAAAGUAACAAGAAUACUAAUUUAAUUUUGUGAGUUUUGUCAACAUCAAUCUAAUUUCAUAAACUUGAAGAGAGGGUACGUGGGUUUUCGUCGGAAUGCUUGGCAACGAACUUUUUCGUUCAUCCAACUAGUUAAAUCAUUGCCUUAGUUUUCAAUUAAUUUCAAUUCGAACUGAUCAGUAUGGUUUUUCCUUGGGUCAAAACCUCUGUAUUCUAUAUAACCAUGUAUAAACAAUAGUUUCACUUUACAAUGAGUCGCAAGUUUUUUUUUUCAUGUACUAUCUCUUUUUAAUUUACGGGAACAUGUGCCAUCAAGCAAACCGAAUUGAUAAUUUCCUCCUUUUUUUUUUACUUUGGUAGAAUGCGUAUAGUUAGUUGCCGUUUGACAACCCUCUUCUCAUUGCUUAAAAGAGUAUCUUUAUAUAUAAAAGACACUUUUAAUCUCUCCUAAGGCCCUCCACAUGGGAUGACAGCACAACAAUUAUGUCUCCAGCCGUUCGACACGUGUCCCCUUAUUAAAACGCAAUGUUUUCCGUUUGACCGAGUGGGCUUCGAAAUUGGCUCUACGUUUAGUUUUGUAUUUAGCCCAGAAAAAACAAAACUUCUAUGUUGCUCUGAAACCCUAAUACGGCGACGAAAGACGCAGCUGACUUCUCCCUUAUGCUUUGGUCGUAUCGGCGGAUGUUUCGGAUCCGUAACGGAGACGUUGAGAUUCAUUGGCCUUUAAUCCUGCUGUCUUUAAUCCCAUUCAAUGAGACGCUCACUACGAUAUCUUCGGUUGAGCUUUUUCGUCGGCGAUCCCAUCAAUAAAUAUGUACGUAUCUCGCUUCUGCUAAACGGGCUCUCAAAAUGUCUCUGUUAUCCUUCUUCCUCAUAUGUUCAUCUCUUAUUGCUCAUAUUUCUUAAUGGCUUACUCGAAAGUUUUUUUUUCCGAUUGAAAUCCGGGAGGUGUUCUUCUGUUGUCGAGGCGAGGCUGCUGAGUUUCUGGGAGGUUAGGAAUUUCAAGCGUGGUGGGGAGCUCAUGAUUCACGUCAACUGGGUAAUGACUAUUGAUCCGGUUAAUUUUAAUAAUUUUAGAAAUCCAAAAAGGUUGAAUCUUUGUUUCAUUUUAUGUAGUAUAAAUGUACAAGAUGAGAGAUUUCCACGCACAUCGUCCUGCUCCUUUCAGAUUGAAACCAGUCAGAGAAAACAAGUUCGUCAAACUAAACCCUGCUCAAAAGCUCCUCCAACUAAAAAAAUUUCCUUGUUUGAUUUAAAAGACAAUGUUUUUGUCAUUCUCACGGGUUGGUGGUUCGGAAUAGACAUGAGAAGCACAGCCAAGAUUAUCGUUGACUCAAGCAAGAAGAAAAUUCAGAGGGGUACUUGAGCAGUUUCCUAUAAAUCUUAUCAAACUCCAAUGAUUGUGCUCUAGAAACAGAGCUCCUCAAACUUGGUAGUAUGGAUGAGACUGGGAUCAAGGUUUCAGGGUGGAAUUACAAGUCUGUCGGAGAAGUUGAACGAAAGCAGUAAGGGACUAAGAGUGUUCAAAAUGGAGUAGGAAAUGUAAGAAGAAGGGAAUCCCUAUAAAAAAUCUGAUGGCUCAGAGGAGGAGGAAGAGGCGAAGUAAACAAUUGCUUCUCUAUUUGCGUAAUGACUGUCUUAUCAUUUACUUAUCACUGUUAAGUUGGAUAUAUUUGUGUUGCUUUUAUUGAGCUAUAAACUAUAGCGUAUGUAGUGGAUUUGGAUGUCAUUUAUAAAUAGAUAGAGCAUCAAUACUUGAAGAUGCAAAUUGUUAUCUCAACAAACGAUUACAGAGGA